rnacentral:rRNA from 1 species
CAGCCGCCGCGGUAAUACGGAGGGUGCAAGCGUUAAUCGGAAUUACUGGGCGUAAAGCGCACGCAGGCGGUCUGUCAAGUCAGAUGUGAAAUCCCCGGGCUUAACCUGGGAACUGCAUUUGAAACUGGCAGGCUAGAGUCUUGUAGAGGGGGGUAGAAUUCCAGGUGUAGCAGUGAAAUGCGUAGAGAUGUGGAGGAAUACCGAUGGCGAAGGCAGCCCCCUGGGCCAAUACUGACGCUCAUGCACGAAAGCGUGGGGAGCAAACAGGAUUAGAUACCCGUGUAGUCCCUGUCUCUUAUAC